CGGUAGUGGGGGACAACUCGGGGAAACUCGAGCUAAUACCGCAUACGCCCUUUGGGGGAAAGCGGGGGACCUUCGGGCCUCGCGCUAUCGGAUGAGCCUGCGUUGGAUUAGCUUGUUGGUGGGGUAAGGGCUCACCAAGGCGUCGAUCCAUAGCUGGUCUGAGAGGAUGAUCAGCCACACCGGGACUGAGACACGGCCCGGACUCCUACGGGAGGCAGCAGUGGGGAAUAUUGCGCAAUGGGCGGAAGCCUGACGCAGCCAUGCCGCGUGUGUGAAGAAGGCCUUAGGGUUGUAAAGCACUUUCGCUUGGGAGGAAAAGGUUGCGGUUAAUAGCUGCAGCACUUGACGUUACCUUGAGAAGAAGCACCGGCUAACUCCGUGCCAGCAGCCGCGGUAAUACGGAGGGUGCGAGCGUUAAUCGGAAUUACUGGGCGUAAAGCGCGCGUAGGCGGUUUGUUAAGUCGGAUGUGAAAGCCCCGGGCUCAACCUGGGAAUUGCACCCGAUACUGGCCGACUGGAGUGCGAGAGAGGGAGGUAGAAUUCCACGUGUAGCGGUGAAAUGCGUAGAUAUGUGGAGGAAUACCGGUGGCGAAGGCGGCCUCCUGGCUCGACACUGACGCUGAGGUGCGAAAGCGUGGGUAGCAAACAGGAUUAGAUACCCUGGUAGUCCACGCCGUAAACGAUGUCGACUAGCCGUUGGGGAACUUGAGUCCUUGGUGGCGCAGUUAACGCGAUAAGUCGACCGCCUGGGGAGUACGGCCGCAAGGUUAAAACUCAAAUGAAUUGACGGGGGCCCGCACAAGCGGUGGAGCAUGUGGUUUAAUUCGAUGCAACGCGAAGAACCUUACCAGGCCUUGACAUCCUCGGGACUUGGCAGAGAUGCCUUGGUGCCUUCGGGAGCCGAGUGACAGGUGCUGCAUGGCUGUCGUCAGCUCGUGUCGUGAGAUGUUGGGUUAAGUCCCGUAACGAGCGCAACCCUUGUCCUUUGUUGCCAGCAUUUCGGGUGGGAACUCAAAGGAGACUGCCGGUGACAAACCGGAGGAAGGUGGGGAUGACGUCAAGUCAUCAU
rnacentral:rRNA from 1 species